rnacentral:hammerhead_ribozyme from 1 species
AGCCAACUGACGAGUUCCAAAUGGGACGAAACGCACGCCCUGGAU